rnacentral:rRNA from 1 species
AGCGAACGCUGGCGGCAGGCUUAACACAUGCAAGUCGAGCGGGCGUAGCAAUACGUCAGCGGCAGACGGGUGAGUAACGCGUGGGAACGUACCUUUUGGUUCGGAACAACACAGGGAAACUUGUGCUAAUACCGGAUAAGCCCUUACGGGGAAAGAUUUAUCGCCGAAAGAUCGGCCCGCGUCUGAUUAGCUAGUUGGUGAGGUAACGGCUCACCAAGGCGACGAUCAGUAGCUGGUCUGAGAGGAUGAUCAGCCACAUUGGGACUGAGACACGGCCCAAACUCCUACGGGAGGCAGCAGUGGGGAAUAUUGGACAAUGGGCGCAAGCCUGAUCCAGCCAUGCCGCGUGAGUGAUGAAGGCCCUAGGGUUGUAAAGCUCUUUUGUGCGGGAAGAUAAUGACGGUACCGCAAGAAUAAGCCCCGGCUAACUUCGUGCCAGCAGCCGCGGUAAUACGAAGGGGGCUAGCGUUGCUCGGAAUCACUGGGCGUAAAGGGUGCGUAGGCGGGUCUUUAAGUCAGGGGUGAAAUCCUGGAGCUCAACUCCAGAACUGCCUUUGAUACUGAGGAUCUUGAGUUCGGGAGAGGUGAGUGGAACUGCGAGUGUAGAGGUGAAAUUCGUAGAUAUUCGCAAGAACACCAGUGGCGAAGGCGGCUCACUGGCCCGAUACUGACGCUGAGGCACGAAAGCGUGGGGAGCAAACAGGAUUAGACACCCUGGUAGUCCACGCCAUAAACGAGGAGAACGAGACGUUGAAGGGGUAAGCCCUCCAGUGUCGUAGCUAACGC